rnacentral:rRNA from 1 species
AGUGAACGCUGGCGGUAGGCCUAACACAUGCAAGUCGAACGGCAGCACAGUAAGAGCUUGCUCUUACGGGUGGCGAGUGGCGGACGGGUGAGGAAUACAUCGGAAUCUACUUUUUCGUGGGGGAUAACGUAGGGAAACUUACGCUAAUACCGCAUACGACCUACGGGUGAAAGCAGGGGAUCUUCGUACCUUGCGCGAUUGAAUGAGCCGAUGUCGGAUUAGCUAGUUGGCGGGGUAAAGGCCCACCAAGGCGACGAUCCGUAGCUGGUCUGAGAGGAUGAUCAGCCACACUGGAACUGAGACACGGUCCAGACUCCUACGGGAGGCAGCAGUAGGGAAUAUUGGACAAUGGGCGAAAGCCUGAUCCAGCCAUACCGCGUGGGUGAAGAAGGCCUUCGGGUUGUAAAGCCCUUUUGUUGGGAAAGAAAAGAAGCAGAUUAAUACCCCGCUGUUCUGACGGUACCCAAAGAAUAAGCACCGGCUAACUUCGUG